rnacentral:rRNA from 1 species
GACGAACGCUGGCGGCGUGCCUAAUACAUGCAAGUAGAACGCUGAAGGAGGGAGCUUGCUUCUUCUGGAUGAGUUGCGAACGGGUGAGUAACGCGUAGGUAACCUGCCUGAUAGCGGGGGAUAACUAUUGGAAACGAUAGCUAAUACCGCAUAAGAGGUAAUAACACAUGUUAUUAGUUUAAAAGGGGCAAUUGCUCCACUAUCAGAUGGACCUGCGUUGUAUUAGCUAGUUGGUAAGGUAACGGCUUACCAAGGCGACGAUACAUAGCCGACCUGAGAGGGUGAUCGGCCACACUGGGACUGAGACACGGCCCAGACUCCUACGGGAGGCAGCAGUAGGGAAUCUUCGGCAAUGGGGGCAACCCUGACCGAGCAACGCCGCGUGAGUGAAGAAGGUUUUCGGAUCGUAAAGCUCUGUUGUAAGAGAAGAACGGAUGUGGGAGUGGAAAAUCCAUGUCGUGACGGUAUCUUACCAGAAAGGGACGGCUAACUACGUGCCAGCAGCCGCGGUAAUACGUAGGUCCCGAGCGUUGUCCGGAUUUAUUGGGCGUAAAGCGAGCGCAGGCGGUUUCAUAAGUCUGAAGUUAAAGGCAGUGGCUUAACCAUUGUACGCUUUGGAAAC